GCAAAAUCCUUGCAGAGCCGUCCCUUCCCUUUAGCUUCUGCAGCUGCCCGAGCUGGAACGUUCAUAGAAAGGGAGAGCUACGAUUGUUACCAAGUCAGAAAAUUGCAAUUAGGGUUUUUAUCUGAAAAUUUUGUUAUCUAUGGCUUCCUUUAUCCUCUCUAACCCUACUAUUUCCUCUCCUUUCCUCCCCCAGAAACUCACUAAUCAUGAGCAAAAUACUAGAAAUUCGACCACACUUUAUAGCCCUAUUUCAAGAAGCACUAGAACCCUUACAAGCGUUAAGUGUGCAGUGGAUGCACCUUAUGAAGGUAAUAUCCCAAAGUUCUCUAGAAUGAAUGUUUGGGAUCCUUAUAAGCGUCUUGGUAUCAGUCCUUAUGCUUCUGAGGAGGAAAUUUGGUCAUCACGGAAUUUUCUCUUAGAACAAUAUGCUGGACAUGAGAGAAGUGAAGAAUCGAUAGAGGCUGCUUUUGAGAAGCUGUUGAUGACCAGCUUUAAAGAAAGGAAGAAAACAAAAAUUAAUUUGAAAACCAGGCUAAAAAAGAAAGUGGAAGAGUCUCCUCCUUGGGUUAAGGCUUUACUCAAUUUUGUGGAACUUCCUCCAGUUGAAGUUAUUUUUAGAAGAUUAUUCCUCUUUGCAUUCAUGGGUGGCUGGAGUAUCAUGAAUUCUGCGGAAGGUGGACCUGCUUUUCAGGUGGCAGUGUCUUUGGCAGCUUGCAUAUAUUUCCUCAAUGAGAAGACAAAGAACUUGGGCAGAGCUUUCAUUAUUGGCCUUGGAUCUCUUGCAGCUGGGUGGGCAUGCGGCUCAAUAUUUGUUCCCGUGAUCCCAACAGUUCUAAUACACCCAACUUGGACACUCGAACUCCUGACUUCAUUGGUAGGAUAUCUUUUCAUGUUUGUGGCAU
rnacentral:misc_RNA from 1 species